CACAGAAAAUAAAAACAGCCAUAAUCUCUCCGUACUAACCCCCACCCCCAAAAAACCACUUAUAACAUGUUGAUGGGUUUCCUUCCUGUCUUUGUUCUAUUUGUUUAUAUCAUUUGACCUAGUUCAUAUUGUGGAGGGAGAGCCCUUUCUUUAGGGUUUUGCUGUAAAGGUCAAGGGAUCCAGCAAUUCACAAGAAAAUAAUGACACUUUACAUCUGUCUAACUGUUUUAGUUUAUCAAAGCACAUUGACAUGCAUUAUCUUAUUUGGUGAUCACAUCAGACAGGCCAUUUAUCAGGAUACUAAGAUCAAUGGGGAGAGAGGGGACCGUGCCCCAUACCCCAUGGCUGGGGAGGCUCAGAGCCAGGAUUUGAGGUUUCUAAAUUUCUUAUCUAGAGAUUUUUACCCUAUAAUAAUUUUUAUUUUUCUAUCCAAUUAAAGUCUAUAUAUCUAUGUACAGAAAUUCCGUUUGAGACCUAGAACUUCUACUUCCUGUGGUUUAUUUUUGCGCCAUAGAGCACAUUUGUAUUUAAUGUGUCUUCUGGGCUACCAGCCUGGGAACUUUGCCAUCAUCACAUGCACAGCAGCAGUUUGCUCACCAUACACCAGUUAGCUUCCUCUACCUCCUGAGCAGCUGGGCUUGGUCUCUGGCAGCAGGCAUCUGGGGCAUGUAGCUGCCUCUUCAGCUGUCCUGCCAACAGAAGAAACUUACCUCCCAUCAUCUUCCUGAGUGCCUGCCUCAGCUGCCAUGUAUGUAUUCAUUGCCGUGUCUAUAAUAAAUCAGUGGAUUCUUGCUGGAAGCUUGGACGUUUCAAUGGAGAGCUUUCCAAACACCUAUAGCACCCUUCUGAAUGCAACUGGAAGUAUUGGUGCCUAAGGAGCUACACAAGCCUGAACCUCCUGCUACUUGCCAGAUGUAUGAGCUUGAGCCAUUCCCUUACCCCAUGGGGGGAUCACAGCUUCCAACAUGUAAAAUAGCAGUCAUAGUGCCAACUUCUUCACAUUAUAAGUGAUGAAUAAGAUAGCAUGACAACUGCCUGCCUGGUCCACAUGGGAGCUGGGCCACUGUUCUGUCCUCCCCUCCACGCUGCCAACACCAUGAUGCUGGCAGAUGUGACCAAUGCUCCUGCCUGUUCGGGUGAUGAUGGCUCUGAGGAAACAAAGAACACAGCAGCUCACUGGUCUCCGUGCUGAUGCUCCCAGAAAGAAGGCAGCAUUCUCUUCAUCUGCAAAGGCGAACAUCAGAAUUACACCUUUCAUUCAUUGACCAACAAAUUUUGAGGACCAGUAUCUUGUAACACAGGUCCCUCCUCCUACAGAGCUUUUCGGAUUCUAGAGGGCAGCAUGCACAGGGCAGAGGCAGCUGUUGGAGGCAGCAGUUCUGUAGAAAGAAAGGCUAACCCUGGCUUUGAGCCUGGUUUUACCACUUAGCAGCUAUGUGGCUGUGGGCAAUAAACUUAACCUCUCUGAGCUGCAGCCUCUUCACACAUAAAACAUACAUAAUAAACACUUUUCUUCCAAUUUUAGCAUGAAAAUUAAAGAUGUUGAGGGAUGCAUAGGCAGAGCGCAGAGGAUGUUUAGGGCAGUGAAGCUAUUCUGUAUGACACUUAUAAUGGUCAUUAUAUGUUUACCCAAACAGGUAGAGUAUACAACACCAAAAGCGAACCCUCCUGCGUAAACUACGGACUUUGGGUGACAAUGAUGUAUCAGUGUAGGUUCAUCGAUUGUAACAAAUGUACCACUCUGGUGGGGGUGUUGAGAAUAGAGGAGGCUAUGCAUUUGUGAGGGCACAAGGUGUAUGAGAUAUCUCUUUACCUCUGCUAAAUUUUGCUGUGAACCUAAAACUGCUCUAAAAAAUAAAUCUGUUUUAAAAAAUUGAAGGUGUUGGCCGGGCGCGGUGGCUCAAGCCUGUAAUCCCAGCACUUUCGGAGGCUGAGGCGGGUGGAUCACGAGGUCAGGAGAUCGAGACUAUCCUGGCUAACAUGGUGAAACCCUGUCUCUACUAAAAAUACAAAAAACUAGCCGGGCGUGGUGGCGGGCGCCUGUAGUCUCAGCUACUUGGGAGGCUGAGGCGGGAGAAUGGCGUGAACCCGGGAGGCGGAGCUUGCAGUGAGCCGAGAUCACGCCACUGCACUCCAGCCUGGGAGACACAGCGAGACUCCAUCUCAAAAAAAAAAAAAAAAAAAAAAAAAAAA